AUCGAACGCUGGCGGCAGGCUUAACACAUGCAAGUCGAGCGGGGUGAUGGUGCUUGCACUAUCACUUAGCGGCGGACGGGUGAGUAAUGCUUAGGAAUCUGCCUAUUAGUGGGGGACAACAUCUCGAAAGGGAUGCUAAUACCGCAUACGUCCUACGGGAGAAAGCAGGGGAUCACUUGUGACCUUGCGCUAAUAGAUGAGCCUAAGUCGGAUUAGCUAGUUGGUGGGGUAAAGGCCUACCAAGGCGACGAGCUGUAGCGGGUCUGAGAGGAUGAUGUGCCACACUGGGACCGAGACACGGCCCAGACUCCUACGGGGGGCAGCAGUGGGGAGUAUUGGACAAUGGGGGGAACCCUGAUCCAGCCAUGCCGCAUGUGUGAAGAAGGCCUUAUGGUUGUAAAGCACUUUAAGCGAGGAGGAGGCUCUUUUGGUUAAUACCCAAGAUGAGUGGACGUUACUCGCAGAAUAAGCACCGGCUAACUCUGUGCCAGCAGCCGCCGUAA
rnacentral:rRNA from 1 species